rnacentral:rRNA from 1 species
GGCCCCGCACAAGCGGCGGAGCAUGCGGCUUAAUUCGAUGCAACCCGAAGAACCUUACCUGGGUUUGACAUCAUGGGAAAAACUGUAGAGAUACAGUGUGCGUAAGCGUCCAUGACAGGUGGUGCAUGGCUGUCGUCAGCUCGUGUCGUGAGAUGUUGGGUUAAGUCCCGCAACGAGCGCAACCCUCGUUCUAUGUUGCCAGCGGGUUAUGCCGGGGACUCAUAGGAGACUGCCGGGGACAACUCGGAGGAAGGUGAGGACGACGUCAAGUCAUCAUGGCCCUUACGUGUAGGGCUACACACGUGCUACAAUGGCCGGUACAAACGGUUGCGAACCCGCGAGGGAAGCUAAUCCGAGAAAGCCGGUCGUAGUCCGGAUUGGGGUCUGCAACUCGACCCCAUGAAGUCGGAAUCGCUAGUAA